GCAACCAAAACACCGGCCGUCGUCGUCGUCCCUGUCUCUCUCUCUCUCUCUCUGGGGUGAGUACAUACGGUAUUUCACUGAAUCUGCGUUCACAAACGGGCGUUAAUCCUUCUCAAACUGAUUCUGGCCUCAAAUUUUUAGAUGUACCUCUAUGGAAGAUCUCUGAGUGGUUGGAUAAGUGUCCGUAUGGGUGAAUUUGGGAGUCUUAUUGCCAUUGAUUAGCUGCUGGAUCUUUGGUUGUGGUCGGUUCUCUCACGACUGAGCUCGAUAGUGAUACGAGCAUGGUUGUUAAAAAGCUACGAUCCUGCAAUUUGUAUCGUCUCCUUCAAAAAACUUAUCUCUCUGAUGGAGUUGUUAAAAACCUACAAUCCUGCAAUUUGUAUCGUCUACAAUUUGAAGUGCCGAUCAAGAUCGGGCUUCGUUGUUGAUUGAUGGAAUUUAAAUUGACAAUCUCUAUAACUUUUAUAUGGAAGAAGAGCUAAUGUCUCUUGCCCAAAUAUGGCUAGAUGGAAAUGAGAUUUUUCAAACACAGUUGAUUGUGGCCAUCCCUAUCAAUAUGGCUGAUGGAUGUUUUUUUUUGAAAACUCAGAACCACAAUGGGAUGAGAUUCUGGAGAUUACCAAGAUUAGAAUAGCUUUUUGGGUGAAAACAAAGUGGGGAACGAAUGAGUUUUUUUUUUUUUUGGGUAAGUGGGAACGAAUGACUUUAGCAUUAAUGGCUUCAUCUAUAAGCUUAAGGCAAUAAAGGAAUCUCUCUAAUGGAGUUGGAGGGUAUGCUGUUGAAGUUACAGGGACAUUACAGGUAGUUAGCUACUCAACGAUACAAGCUACAGUUAUUGAGACACGCAAUAACAAGUUUAUGCCAAAGAUUCGUUCAGGUAGCAACACAGCCACCGGGCCGCACGUAUGCAAUGAAGAUGAACACAUUUUAGUCGAUGAUCUAUGUGCUCUUUAUAGCUGCCCUCUGCCAAGUGCCUUCUAUGCUGUUUUUGAUGGUCAUAGAGGCUCUGACGCAACAAGUGACAGCAACUUAUCUUGAGAAGAAUGCCAUGAGAUUUUUGUUUGAAGAUGCUGAUUUGCCGCCGACAUCCAAUAUUGAUGAUACUUUCUUGGAAGAGUUGUGGAACCACAGCACUGACUGCCCUAGCACUUGGCAGGCAUCUGCUAGUAGCAAAUGCUGGCGACUGUCGUGCUGUUCUCCGUAGAAAAGGAGAUGUUGUGCAGAUAUCUCAAGAUCACAGGCCUAUUAUUUACCAUAACGGAGGAGGGUGGAGGAGUUAGGUGCUAAAAUCGAGUCUAGGUACCUUAAUGGUGAAAUUGCUGUGAGUUUGUGACACGUGAAUUACUGAAAGCGAAAGAAGUUUAUCAAAAUUUAAGUGAAUAAAUCAAAAUGACUUUAAAUUAAGAGCACGUGAAAGGUGAUUUUCUAUGAAGUGCCACACUCCUAGAGGUUACCGUAUUUAUGUUCGACACGAAGGGGACAAGGCAAAAAAUGCAUCCAUUAAAUCUAAUUAAUUUUUUCAUGGGGACAUGGUGAGAUCUCAGCGAGGACAUGGGAGGGACACAAAAGGGAUUAAAUAUGCAAUUUUAAAAUUUUUGGAGGAUAAAUGUAUAUUACUUCAGAUAUUUUGGGUUAAAAGGGUAAUAUGUGUAUAUGAUAUUUGUUUAUAUACUACAUAUUGAUGCUUUGUGCUUCGACAUGUGUAACUUUGUUUCCAUUGGUUUAAAGUAAGUAUUUUUUACUUAUUUAUUUUUUUCGUGUCUGUGUCCGCAUGGACACAUUUUUAAGCAAUCCCGCGUCUUGUGCCCGUAUCCAUGUCCUUAUCCAGUUCUGUAUCCAUGCUACAUAACUGAUAUUGGUUAUUUAGAGCUCAGAAAGUGUUCUAAUUGCAGAAGUUGAUAGUGUCAGAAUCGGGCCAAGGUAUUAGUUGCUGAUAAUGAUGCUGCAAUGCCGAAAUUGGUUGCUGAAUUGUAUAGUUUAAAGCGAAGACCACAUACUAAAAUGGGGGAAUCUGACAUGGCAUGAAUAUUUGUAUUGUGAAGAAGGAAAAUUUUAUGCUGAUGUUGGAGCCAGUCAACUCCAUUGGAUGAUUAUUAGGAUUUUUUUCGUACUCAUCAUGAUAAGGUACGUGAUUAUAUAUCUAGGUCUCGACGGGCAAACAUAUGUUUUUGGUGAUUUUUCAUUCACAAAUUGAUAAUUUUGUCAUGAUCUAUAUGUUGGGAAGUCGAUAUUGACUCUAAAUUUUUGUUGACCGGGGCGUGGUAGGUUCCUUGCUUUAACUUGGUUGUGUUUAUCAUAGUUUCUUACUUGAAGAUAAAAUGUCAUAGGUGUUAAAAGAUAAACUUGGUUCUUAUUCAUCGUCAUUUGCAUUGCAGGUAAUACAACGGUCUAGCCCAUCAUUUUGAAAGCUUUUUUUGGCAAAGAUCUUGUUAAGGAUCGCAUCCUGAAGUUGAGAUUACUUUUCGCUUCCAUUAGUCUAGGCAAUGUACUAGUUGGAUUAUGGUAUUUCCGCACGAUUAUGGCAAUAUUUGAUCUACUUUUGAAUAUUGACAAUGUUAUGGAACAUACCUUCUGCUUUUGAUAAUUCAUAUGGAGUAGUAGUUUUUCUUAUUGAAAAAAUGGAAAUGAAUUCUUUUGCUUUUUCAAUAUUGCUGAGUUAUUUAGGAAAAUAUUAGUGGUGAAGUGUGAACAGAUAUAUAUGUAGUGGGAAAGUGGCUAAUACAAUUGAUUAGGAUGCGGUUUUGAAUUGAACCUGUAGAACCGCUUUAGCUGUUGCUAAAAGUGUCAACUGUAUGGUGAGAUCCAUAGAGUAUUUAUCAGUUGCUGGAGAAACGUGCAGCAAGGCGUAUUGGGUUCUUCACCAACGGGCAAACCACUGCAAAACUACCAGAGCUUGCCAAAAGCGUAGGUGUAGAGAUGGAGUGAUGAAUAUCGAUUACGUGUUGGUUUCAGAAGGUGCUGGUAUAUAGAUCACCCGUGACCUUUGUGUAUAAAAAAAAUCAAGAAGUCAGUUCAGAAUAGACUUGUGCGUAUUGAUUGGCGAAUCUAUGCUAAUGUGUUUGCCUCUGGUUGAUGUAUCUGUUCUUUGUACUUAAGUCUUCUAAACUUCUGUUGUUGUCAGCCUCGGCUGGUGGAUAAGCUCUAAAAAGCUAUCCUUUACUA